rnacentral:rRNA from 1 species
AUUGAACGCUGGCGGAAUGCUUUACACAUGCAAGUCGAGCGGCAGCGCGGGGUAACCUGGCGGCGAGCGGCGAACGGGUGAGUAACACAUCGGAACGUACCCAGUUGUGGGGGAUAGCCCGGCGAAAGCCGGAUUAAUACCGCAUACGACCUGAAGGUGAAAGUGGGGGAUCGCAAGACCUCACGCAGUUGGAGCGGCCGAUGGCGGAUUAGCUAGUUGGUAGGGUAAAGGCCUACCAAGGCGACGACCCGUAGCGGGUCUGAGAGGACGACCAGCCAGACUGGAACUGAGACACGGUCCAGACUCCUGCGGGGGGCAGCAGUGGGGAAUUUUGGACAAUGGGGGCAACCCUGAUCCAGCCAUUCCGCGUGAGUGAAGAAGGCCUUCGGGUUGUAAAGCUCUUUCGGCAGGAACGAAACGGUCUGUGCUGAUACCACGGGCUAAUGACGGUACCUGAAGAAGAAGCACCGGCUAACUACGUGCCAGCCGCCGCGGUAA